AUGGCCCCACUGAGCAACAACUCCCGCCAGACCGACAUCAUCGCCAUGAUGCCGGACUGUAAUGCGCAUGGCCUUGACCCGAAUUGGGUCGAGCCGGAGGUGGAUCGGGUGCAGGAGUUCUUCAAUGCCCUGUUAGAGAAGUACGCCCGCGAAGAGCCGCUGCUCAUCCAGGACACCACCCAAGCGGAGCUGGACUAUAUCACCGUCAGAGCGGCGGAGGCGGCGCUCGCCAAGGAGGCCGACAGCGCUGGCAGCGUAGAGGACGAGGCCAUAGCGGCCGCAGAGGAGAAGGAGCUCGCCCAGUGGGCGGAAUCCGCUGGGGAGGCCAGCAGCGCCGGCACCGGGGCCCCUCUCAUUGAAGAUGAGGCCGAUGAGUCGUCCAGGGAGGAGGUCGAGGCUGUCGACCCCCCAACCACAGGGAGAGGGCGUGUUCUGCGGCGGGCCAUCUCUGGUGAGCCAGUCCGGCCCUACAGGGCUGCACAGCCGCAACAACCUCAGGAGGCGUCCAUGCAUCAGACAAGGGCCGCGGUGGCGGGGAAAGCGGUGAAGGCUGCGGUGGCGAAGAAGAAAGCGACUGCCCCUUCUCCGUCCAAGAGUCCUCAGACUCCACCCGCUUCCCCUCCUCCCGCAGAUGACGACACGGAGGUCUUCUUCGACCUCGGGUCUCUUAGCCCGAGGAGGAAGAGGAAGGCAACGGAAGAAGAGGCGGAGGAUGAGUACGUAUCUCAUCUUUUGUCAUCUCCGUCCCCUUGGACCGUGCCGCUUUUCUUGACUUGUCUUCAUCUUCGCAGGGAUAGGGAGACGCUGUCCUAG
rnacentral:rRNA from 1 species